UAAAAAUAGGAUUCAAGAAGUGUUCCUUCAGUUUUGAGUUGCUCAACUUGGCAUGACAAAUCAUGCAGAUAGGACACUGACUCCCAUCACUUUCCGUGAUUCAUGUGAAUACAUGCUUGAAUAGGCAUUGAGUAUGAGUAUUAAGAACAGGACUAAUUUGUACGUAGACUCACUGGACACUACAUUAGGUACACCUGAGCCAAUACAAGAACUGCAUCAAAAAUUCUGCCCUACACAGA